UACGAAGGGGGCUAGCGUUGCUCGGAAUCACUGGGCGUAAAGCGCGCGUAGGCGGUUCUUUAAGUCAGGGGUGAAAUCCCAAGGCUCAACCUUGGAACUGCCUUUGAUACUGGGGAUCUCGAGUCCGGAAGAGGUGAGUGGAACUGCGAGUGUAGAGGUGAAAUUCGUAGAUAUUCGCAAGAACACCAGUGGCGAAGGCGGCUCACUGGUCCGGUACUGACGCUGAGGUGCGAAAGCGUGGGGAGCAAACAGG
rnacentral:rRNA from 1 species